AAUUCUUUAUUAAAUUGUUAGACUACUGUAUCCAGUUUCCCAGCGCUUCUUCUUGUUUACUGGUAACAUAUAUAUAUAUAUAUAUAUAUAUACACAUGUAUAUAUCAUAUGUGUGAGUGUUUAUAUGUAUGCAUGUGUAUAUAUAUGUACUAUAAUUAAGAUAAAGUAAACUUUUACUGCACUUACAAGUGCCACCGGGAAGACAGCAGGCUGCAGAGGACGCUAGACAGCCAUUAAUAAUACUCAUGCAGCUAAACAAAAAAAAAAAAAAUGGUUUUUUUUUUUUUUUUUAGUGGAGGGGGGUUUCUGGGUGCUCGGAAACCCCCCCUGGGUGCGCCACUGACUGUGCAGGCAAGUUAGUUUUGGCUGUCUAACACUAAAGUAUAGUCAAUCGCACAUAGUCAAAAUCGAAGAUAGCCAAAAUCUCACCAUGUGUAUGCACCUUAAGGGGUGCAACAAGUAACAAGGGCCAGGAACCAAUCAUUAGUCUUCAUGUGCAACCAGUUCUGUAGUGUUUUUCUUCUCUCCUUUUUUUCUUCCCCCCCCCCCUCCCUUUUAGGUGCUGUUCCCACUUGUACAGUGAGGCCAACAACUAACAGAAUUGACCCAAUAUGCUGUACAGUAAAAAAUGUAAAUCUGCUGCGCUGCAUCUAGUGCAUUACGUAAAUACAACAUAAGACUGUGUUUUGCUUCUCCCCCCCCCCCCCCCUCCCCACUACUACUCUUGUGCCCCAAAUCAUUUUGUGUGAGAGGCUCAGUCUAAAACAAGGGCCAACGGGGCAUGUUGUUAGCGGGGCCAUGCUGCUGAAUGCAACAAGGACCCCUGUCUUGUAGAUUUGUUUAUGUUGUGUUGGAAGAGGUACUAACUACUCUGACAAAUUGUUUUAAAGGGUUUCAGCUCCCAUUAUAAUUUGUCACACGCCACUCUUCAGAGACCCCUUUUAAUGAUACGGAUUUAUUAUUUAUUCUCGCCGUUGCUUGCAGUAAUGGGCACAAGAUCGGCAUGUUCUGACUCAGCCUGCCUUGCAGUUCCCAACAGACAUAGCAAUCGUUUCAUUGUUUGUAGGAUCUGAAUCUCCAGUGGGCUACCUGCUUCACUAAAAUCUACUAUUGUUUAACCACAAGUUAGGACUUGACUUUACCGUAAUUUAUUCAGUGAUAAGAAUUCUGUAUCUUUAAAAUGACCUCUACUUUCCUCUACACUGCCAUGUUUAGCACUGUUUCUCAUAGUGACUGUAGGAGGAGACCCUUGCUCUUCCGGUGUGUUAGACUGAUUGAAUCCAGCACAAGGUGCCAUAGUGCUGGGAAAACACAAACUCAGCAGCAAUAUUGUUUACACCUCUGGAGUGUGAGCUAAAACAGGCAAGAUUUCCCUUCCUGGAUAUCCUAUGUUGUCCUGCAUCCCUUAUGUGUAUAGGUGGUCAUUCCGAGUUGAUCGCUCGUUAUAUUUUUUUCGCAACGGAGCGAUUAGUCGCUAAUGCACAUGCGCAAUGUCCGCAGUGCGACUGCGCCAAGUAAAUUUGCUAAGAAGUUUGGUAUUUUACUCACGGCAUUACGAGGUUUUUUCUUCGUUCUGCUGAUCGUAAUGUUUCUGGGCUGAAACUGGCCGUUUUAUGGGAGUGUGUGAAAAAACGCUGCCGUUUCUGGGAAAAACGUGGGAGUGGCUGGAGAAACGGGGGAGUGUCUGGGCGAACGCUGGGUGUGUUUGUGACGUCAAAUAAGGAACGAAACUGACUGAACUGAUCGCAGUGGCAGAGUAAGUCUCGAGCUACUCAGAAACUGCUAAGAACUGUCUAUUCGCAAAUCUGCUAAUCGUUCGUUCGCAAAUCUACUAUGCUAAGAUUCACUCCCAGUAGGUGGCGGCUUAGCGUGUGCAAAGCUGCUAUAAAAGCAGCUUGCGAGCGAACAACUCGGAAUGAGGGCCAUAAUGCGGUCACUGAGCAAUAGCAUGUAUUAACUCGGAGGACCGAGUUUGAGGAUCUCUAUUAACUAUUUGGAAAAUCAGGGGAAAAAACACUAUACCACAGGUUCUCAAACUCGGUCCUCAGGACCCCACACGGUGCAUGUUUUGCAGGUCUCCCCACAGAAUCACAAGUGACAUAAUUAGCUCCACCUGUGGACCUUUUAAAAAGUGUCAGUGAGUAAUUAAUACACCUGUGCACCUGCUGGGUUACCUGCAAAACAUGCACUGUGUGGGGUCCUGAGGACCGAGUUUGAGAACCUAUGCCCUAUACUGUUCAUAUACUGUAGCAACUUAUGAAAGGGUGGAUGGCGGUAUCUAAAUAUUAAUAAUGAUUGUACAGUAGAAUCAUUAAGUAGUAUUACUUGAUAAAGCGAAACAUAAUAUAAUAUAUAAAAAUGAAUUAUAAAGUAAUAAUGCUGAAUGGCUCUUGCCUUUAUGUUGUACUAACCAAUUCUGGAAAAUUUGGCUAAAUAAGCCCAUCAAAUAAAUAAGGCGUAUUAUUCUGUGUAUGUUACAGUUAAGUCAUUUACCACUAUUGUUUAUCAGUGACCGAUUUCACUAAUGAAACACUAUUAGUUAAAUUUGGAAAAGCUGCAAAAUUUGUAAUUUGGUAUAAUUUACUCCAAAUCUUAUUUUAAGACUACUGAAAAUCACAGUGGAUCUAAAAGUUGCACUACCAAAGAUUUGUACAAUUCUCAAGUCACAGGGGCUGCUACUGUACAUGCAAAUCAAGAGAUUGGAACUGGUCCUUCUGCUCACACCCUAACUGUGGACCCUAAUCGGCAUUAUUUGCAGAUUCUGCUAAAAAGCAAAAUCUGCAAAUGCCUGAUUAUAUGCUGGGGGCCGCCCAGCAUGCCAAGUCCCGCCCACUCUCGCUAGAAAUCUGCCUAACUGCAUGUGCGCAGCAGUUACGACUGCUGCUGAAUGAGCUACUAUGUAAGCAGAGAAAGGUAACGUUUAACACCAUAACUGGUUGAUAACGUUAUGCAGGUCAAACUUCAUUAUGUUAUUAAUUAGCAAACCAUUUUACAUUUCAUUUGGAGCUACCAACACAGUUUGGAAAGUUACCUUUGUUAAUGUGGCUAUUUACUUUUAAUGACCACCUGUCACUAACACAACUGAAUCCCUUCCUGCUACUUCAGCACAGCAGUGUGGUCCAGCUGUUCUCUGUUCUAUAUCUUGCCAUGAUAACUAACUAAAGUUAUAGUUGACUGUAAAGAGUUUAUAAAGAUGAUAAAAUGCUUCCAGAACUGUAAAACUUUUUUAAUACAAUAAAGUGUGAAUUUUUCCCAUA